rnacentral:lncRNA from 1 species
AAGAUCUCAGCAUCAAAGGGCAACAACCCUGGCGUUAAAACACAUCGGAUCAAAUCUGAUAUUUACAAUGUAGUCAAAGGCACAGUGGCAUUGAAAAACAAAACGCUGGGAGAUGUAUAGUAAAAGAUUCGUUGUAAUCAUUAAUCUGGUUUUCAGCUAGGAGAAUUAACUCUUGAGAGAUGAUGCACACAGCAGGCCUUCGGAACCGGUGUGCUAGUUACUAGGGAGACCACGCCUCCUUCAGACCACGCCUCCUUCCCGCAGUUUACAUCUUUCCGGCCUUCUUGCCCAUCUGCGCCGGCACUCGGAGGAUGUUGGGGGUCUCCUCCAUGACUCUGACUAGCAGGUUGUCGAUGUAGUCCUCCAGCUCCCGCACCUGAAACUCCUUCUUGCUGAUGGUCUCCUUCUGUUUGAGGACUAGCUGGAUCAGCUCAUCGUGGGUCAGCUGCGCGUGUUAAAACACGCGCCACCACACCCGGCUUAGAAAGCCACUUUCCACAAAGGAUGAAACCAGGCGGCUGACGAGAAGAGAGAAGGACUUUGGAGUCUGUAGAGUAGGGCUUAAACUCAGGGUUUUGGCCACGGCAAGCAAGAGCUCUCUACCACUGAGCUACAACCCCUUGAGCCGCUCCGGGUGUGACUUCCAAAACUGGAUUCAAACCUGGCAGGAUGGUGCACACUUGCCAUCCCAGCACUAAGGAGAUGAAGGGCCGCGAGCGAUUACAAGCCUGAGCUACCACACCCUGUUUAUGUGCUCCUGAGGAUCAACCCCACGAUUCCUGAUUACUAAGCAAGAACUCCAUCAACUGAAUUAAACCCCGAGCCCUUUCCUUUUACUUACUUCUUAAAAUGGCACACUCCCUGAGACGGAACCCGUGUUGGACACCGCUCCAGUCGUGAAGAACCUGAGACUAGACAGGCCACGGACCCAGGGAAAGCCAAAUACUCUGCUAAAGGGACAGAGCAAUAGAAGGACUCCUAAUGACACUCUGCCAUACCUAAGGUCUUGAGAAGUCCCAGCAACUGGACCAUCCCUCCCCUCGGGGCUCCGGGAACCCUGUGGAAGAGGAGGUAGGAAGAGUAUAAGGGGCAGAGGGAAGUACAGCAAGGCAAGAAGGACUGACAUGCCUGUGUUCCCACAGACGGGCAGCAUGCUCAGGUUCAAGCCAGGUGCCUCCCAGCACGGAGAGAGGAAGCAGACACCAGGCCCCACCUUAACUCAAAAAGCCAUCUCCAACUGACAAACAUUUACAAAGGAAACAUUAGUUUCUCCAAGUGAGUCUCCUUGGGUACACAAACCCACUUGAUGCGCAGGCCCCAUGCCCAGUGGUAGAUAGCCAACACAAAAUGAACAAUAGUAUUUUUGUAGAUUUUUUUUUUUUUGGUCUCUUAUUGCUUUAUCUGGAGGUUUUAUUUUUAAACCCUGCUGGUCAUUUGCUUAUAUAUUAUUGUUUCCAAUUUUGUGUUUUUAUUUUCUCUCUGUGUGUGUGUAUACUUUUCUGUUUUAUUCUGGCUUUUGUUUUGUUUUUACUUAUCUGUAUGUUCUGUAAAGAGAGGGGGGCAUGGAGUUGGAUGGGCCGGGAGGAUCUGGGAGGAAAGGAGGGAGGGGGAACCAUGAUCAAAUACAUUACAUGAGGCCGGUAGGAUGGCAAAGACAUGGACUUCAUGGAAUCCUUGGUGGAAGAGUCGGACAGUCGCCUGUCAGAAGAUGUGCCGCCUCCUUCCCCUGGUUCCUUGGGAGAGCGGGCAGCCAGGUUUUCAGUGGACGAGAACAAAUGCUUCCUCCUGAAGCCCUGCGGGGAUGGGGAAUUAGAAGGGCUGCUCUCUCUGAUCUCACUCCUGGCCUCCGGCUGCUCCAUGUAAACGUGGUUCCCGUUGAUACAGACGGUAGAGCGGGAAAGAGAGUCAUUCUUGGACCGGAGGCCCCCAAGGAAGGAAAGCCCCUCUUUCUUGGGAAGGCUGAAGUUGGACUGGUUCGGUUGUUGGUCUGUACUGGAUGUUCGCUUGUGAGACAUGACUGGGAAGAAAGGAAACAGCAAAAGGGGUGAGUGCUGAAGAGACAGUUCAGUGAGAAAAGGAAUGUACCGCGAAGCCUAGACUCAUCGUCACUGUCGACUGAGGGUGUCACGCUGGGGACGAUGGCCGAGGCGGUAUCCGAGGCGCUGUCCUUAUUCUUCCCUUUGAUCUUGUCCUUCAGUUUUCCAAAUGGAUUCCGGGACUUGUCUUUCAUGGAGAGGUCAAACAUGCUGGCCGUCAUGUUAUUCCUCAUAAACUGGAUGUCGACCUCGAUUUUGGGCAAAGGGCUACGAGGAACGAUCGCCUCAGAAACGUCACUCUUCAGCUGGAGCAAAUGCUGUUCACAUUCCACAAGGCAGCCACACUGAGAGAAUCACAGUCUUGGAGAUCCCAUGCAAACGUAUUUAUACUCUUUGCACUGUAGUUAAGAGUGGUGAAGGGGGGGUGGGGGGGCAUGGCUUGCCUCCUGACAGGGAGGAGCCUGAGCUCC